AUCGCCUCUUGCUCUCCCAUAAGAGGUCCAGCCUGCCCAGUGACUUAGUUCAACGGCCGCGGUACCCUAACCGUGCGAAGGUAGCGUAAUCACUUGUCUUCCAAAUAGAGACUAGUAUGAAAGGCAUCACGAAAUUUAACUGUCUCCUUUUUCUAAUCAGUGAAACUAAUCUUCCCGUGAAGAAGCGGGAAUCCAAAAAUAAGACGAGAAGACCCUAUGGAGCUUUAAACACUAACCACCUGCCCAAUCCUAUAAGACCCCGGUUCCAAAACCAACGCAUCAUGACUACGUGUUUUUGAUUGGGGCGACCACGGAAAAUAAUCAAACCUCCGUAAUGAAAACCUACAAGCCACAGCUUUAAGUAUCAACAAAUUGACAUCCAUUGACCCAAUAUAUUGACUAAUGAACCAA
rnacentral:rRNA from 1 species